GACGAACCGUGCGAACGUUAUUCGGAAUCACUGGGCUUAAAGCGCGUGUAGGCGGGCCGCCGCGUCGGCUGCUGAAAUCCCCCGGCUCAACCGGGGAACUGGCACCGAUACGGGCGGCCUCGAGGGGGGUAGGGGGACCUGGAACUUCCGGUGGAGCGGUGAAAUGCGUUGAGAUCGGAAGGAACGCCCGUGGCGAAAGCGAGGUCCUGGACCCUUUCUGACGCUGAGACGCGAAAGCCAGGGGAGCGAACGGG
rnacentral:rRNA from 1 species